GGCUCUGAGAAAUAUGUAAAUAUGUAAAAUUUUGUUUUUAAAUGACUGAAAAAAAAUCAGCUCAAUUUUUUUUCUACUUUUAUGUUCCCCCUUUGUCACUUAUGAAUUCAGGAUGAGAAAUAUUCUGGACCACUCUGCCUUAGCUUGAAAUAAAAUCUGCAAGGCUAACACAAUCAGCAAAUUAGUCCAAUUUUGACAGACCUCAUGAAUAUUUCCGAGUUGGAAUAUUGUUUACAUCACAAUUUUAUUUCAGGUCAAACUUUUUUUUUUUUUAAGUUUCUUGUUUAUUUGGAUGCACGCAAAGAGCAGCCAAUUAAAUGUAAGUAAGAAUGUACAUACUGAGUAAAAAAAAUGGCAAAUUUAUUUACAGUGAUGAAAGGUCACUGUUACAUAACGAUAUGUUUGCACGUCCGUGACAACUAUCUUUUUUUAUUCUGAGAACUAAUUGCAAGUCGACGUUUCUCUCUCUCUUUUUUUUUGUUGCGGGAACAAACCCCCCCCCCCGGAAUAUUGUUUCUGAUAAAUAUGACAAUUUAUGAGUCGGCAGGUUGAACUCGUGCCGCUCGUCGGGCGCGCGCCGCGCACGUGUUUUAUUGCGCCGCUUGCAGCGCGCGCUCCCCGCCAUUGUGCUGUCGCGCUGACGUUACGGCGCGUUGGUCCUGCGCGUGACGUCACCGACGUCGAGAGGCGUUCGUCCCGGAUGGUGGGAAAGAAAGGGCCCGCGCGCCUUGGCAACCGAAUUAAUCAGGAGAGACACUCAGGGGUUGAGGCUGGGAAACUUUGGGUGUUUUUUUCCCCGUGGGACUUCAGCUCUUUGGCUGAAUAACACCGGAGAAGAUGACCUCACUCAGAUAGGGGAGUCUGCACAAAGGAGUUAAAAAUGUAAGUCACAUUUUGACCUUUCUGAUAGUUAACAUAAUGUGUUUAGCUCCGCACACAGCAAAUAGUCGGGAUGAGUUUUAAAUUAAAAACAUUUAAUGCAACUGUCAUUAUGCAUCUGACCAAUCAGUAUCCAGGUCAUGGG
ensembl:lncRNA